rnacentral:lncRNA from 1 species
CAAUGUCACAGUGGUUAUACAAGUGAGUCCUGUUCAGCGUGGGAGGAAAUAACACAAGAGGCAAAGAUCACUCGGGACCACCUUGUAUAUUGGCUACCACAGAACCCAACACAAGCAGUAAGUUAAAAUCAUGAAGCUCCUGACGUCAGAGGACAUGGCUCUGCCAUUUGUUAGGUAGGGAUCCUGUUAAAGGCUCAGCUUCCUCAUCUGGAAAUGGAAAUAUAGGCCUUGCCUGGUUUGCUGUAAUGGGUCGUGAUGAGGACCAAACUACAAAGAGUGGUACAGAUGUUAAUUACAAUGAUUUUUCCUAUGCCACCCAUGGAAACAAAAAUAGCAAGAUAGAGAAGGCUAAAUCCCAGUUUUUUUUGACUGCUAUUCAGCAAAGCCUAGGAGACUUUCAUGACACCUGGAGAGGCGGCCGUAGUGUAUGUGUAAGAGUACCGGUUCCAGAGUGGGGCUCCCCGAGCUCAGCCCCACCACUUACCAACAGCGGACCUUGGGCCAGAUGCUGAAGCCCUUUGUGCCUUGGUUUCCUGACCUAUUACUGUGGAAAUGAUGACAGUACCCUCCUCAUGGCAUCGUGAGAAUUAAAUUAGCUAAUUCAGGUGAAGCAUUUAGAAGAGGACCUCCUGACACUUAAUAACUGCUUGAUAUAAAUAAUAGCUUCUGCUACAGAGUGGCCAUGAAGUCUGGACAUGUAGAUAUUAUAUUAUCAUGCAUCAUAAGAUGGAGUCUCGCUCUGUUGUCCAGGCUGGAGUGCAGUGGGGCGAUCUCGGCUCACUGCAACCUCUGCCUCCUGGGUUCAAGUGAUUCUCCUGCCUCAGCCUCCCAAGUAGCGGGGACUACAGCACUGCAAUGAAUGCUGCUGCACACGCUGUUGAGCUCGUGGACACUUUCCUGCUGGGUGAGGACCCGAACGUGAAAUUGCUGGGUCAUGGAUUCAAGUGCUACACAUAUUUUUGACCACAUUACUGUGACUCAGGAAGCCCAGGAACAGAAUUCUAGGCACCAGAACCAUACAUGUUACAGCCUCUGAGCUUUAUGGCCUCUGAGCCAUUUGUCCAGCCACAUCAUUUGCAGAUGAGAUCCUGAGACUCAGGCUGGAAAAGUGACCGGGGAAAAGUCACACAAGUCAGAGGCAGAGCUGGAGUUUCCUCAUUUCCAGGCCCGUAUAGAUCAAGACGGACGUUGGUCAAACACCUCCUAGUACUCACAUGAAGAAGCUCUCCUUUCUGCUGUAGGAAUGAUCACACACCAUUCCAAUCUGGAUACCAAAUGUCAUUGUUUAUUAAAUGUGUGCAGUGUGCCAGGCAUAUUGUGUCAUAUGUUUACAUGUGUCAUAUAUUUACAUUACAUAUGAUCGCUGGUUCUUACAACAACCCUUCAAGACAGGUCAUAUCAAGCCCAUUUUUCAGACGGGAAAAAGAGCUCAGAGGGGAUGAUUAGCUUGUUCAGGUUUUCCAGUUUCCUUAGGAAGUGGCAGAGCUGGAUCUGAACUCUGCUUGUGACUACUUGGGGGAUGGAGGAGUGAACUCCUUUUUAUCAGAUCCUGG